rnacentral:rRNA from 1 species
UACGUAGGGGGCGAGCGUUGUCCGGAUUUAUUGGGCGUAAAGAGCUCGUAGGCGGUUUGGCAAGUCGGGUGUGAAAACUCCGGCUCAACUCGGAGACGCCACUCGAUACUGCUAUGACUCGAGUCCGGUAGGGGAGUGCGGAAUUCCUGGUGUAGCGGUGAAAUGCGCAGAUAUCAGGAGGAACACCGGUGGCGAAGGCGGCACUCUGGGCCGGAACUGACGCUGAGGAGCGAAAGCGUGGGGAGCGAACAGG